CCGCUGCCCGUGAUUAAAUUUAACGGCCGCGGUAUCUUAACCGUGCAAAGGUAGCAUAAUCAAUUGUCCUUUAAAUUAGGACUAGUAUGAACGGCAUCACGAGGGUUUAACUGUCUCCCCCCUUUAAUCAACGAAACUAAUCUUCCCGUGAAGAAACGGGAAUGUAGUUAUAAGACGAGAAGACCCCAUGGAGCUUUAAACUUAAUAUCACUUAUUUAAUAAUAAAACACAAUAUGUAAUAAGAGUGAUUUUAUAGUUUUUGGUUGGGGCGACCCUGGAGAAUAACAAACCCUCCAGAUUGAAAUGAACAAUAGACCUUAUAUAGGACCACAAUUCAAAU
rnacentral:rRNA from 1 species